CUCUCUUCCUCUCGUCUCUCCUUCUCUUUCUUCUUCUCUCUUCCUCUGGCUUCUCUUUAUCUCUAAUCUCCGCCGCGAGCUUUUCUGAAACGCAGAACGCCGGACCGCUUCAUGCAGCGCGCGCACACGCAUGCACCUAUACACCGUACACGCGCACACGCACGCGCUGCCCGGACUCUCCGUGUCCGCAGUGACGGUGAACCGCCGCCAGCCUGACACCACAGUUUCCCCAGAAAGGCCUGUUUUGAGACCUUGCAGGCGCUCCUGAACUGAGUAGUCAUGAAGAACACAGAAAAACCUGGACCAGACAGCAAGAGACUUCACUAUCAGCACAGAUAAGAGGAGAGGCACAGUGAGAAUGGAGGAGAGAGAAGAAGAAGCACUGAGAGAGAGAAGAAAGAGAUUACAGGAGUGGAGUAGUCUUCUACUCUUUUAUCUGGCAUACACUUCAAGGGUUAUUUCAAGUAAGGGGGCAAUACAGCAUACUGUAUGCUUAUACAUAGAGUAUGAUAUUCAGCUGGGUGAUUACUUUAGCCACCUAGUGCUAUUCCUGGACCAUGACAGCACAGCAAAAGCUCCACUCAUCACAUAACAACAUCUUGGACUCAUUUACCCACCACCAUGGCAAAUACAUACAGAGACACCUCACAUGUAACUAUGUAGGCUUAGAAACCUCUAAGAAACUUCAAUUUUGUAUGUAAUAUAUUUCUAAAGGGCCCAUUACAUAUCAUGGGCUUUCCUAAAAUAAAGGUUGGAUGUACUACAUA